UACGAAGGGGGCUAGCGUUGUUCGGAAUUACUGGGCGUAAAGCGCGCGCAGGCGGUUCUUUAAGUCAGGGGUGAAAGCCCAGAGCUCAACUCUGGAAUUGCCUUUGAAACUAGAGAACUUGGGUACGGGAGAGGUGAGUGGAAUUCCGAGUGUAGAGGUGAAAUUCGUAGAUAUUCGGAAGAACACCAGUGGCGAAGGCGGCUUACUGGUCCGGUUCUGACGCUGAGGCGCGAAAGCGUGGGGAGCAAACAGG
rnacentral:rRNA from 1 species